CCAGGCCAACCUACCGGCGACUAGGAUGCUUUCGCUUUCGCUCUGGCUUUCCAUUACUCGGGACUGGGGAAACCGGGAGAAUAGAAGCAGGCAAGGACCGCCGUGGGCACGGGGUGUCCCCAGCGCAGCCAAUCGGCUUCCGAAGAAGGUGAGUUGCUGCCUGAAAAGAAAAGACAAACACCAGUAUCUUUCAUUCCGUUGGCCAGGCGCGCCAUUCCCCAAGUGAGUUCUGUUCUCCAACCAAAGUGCUGGAUUCCAAGGGACUGGAAGGGAAAGUCCCUAAAAAUUACGAGUUCAGGCGUCUGAGACUUGGUGGGAACGGACCUUCCUCUUAG
rnacentral:sRNA from 1 species